rnacentral:misc_RNA from 1 species
GAUGAAGGAACGCAGCGAAAUGCGAUAAGUAAUGUGAAUUGCAGAAUUCAGUGAAUCAUCGAAUCUUUGAACGCACAUUGCGCCCGCCAGUAUUCUGGCGGGCAUGCCUGUUCGAGCGUCAUUACAACCCUCAGGCCCCCGGGCCUGGCGUUGGGGAUCGGCGGAAGCCCCCUGUGGGCACACGCCGUCCCUCAAAUACAGUGGCGGUCCCGCCGCAGCUUCCAUUGCGUAGUAGCUAACACCUCGCAACUGGAGAGCGGCGCGGCCAUGCCGUAAAACACCCAACUUCUGAAUGUUGACCUCGAAUCAGGUAGGAAUACCCGCUGAACUUAAGCAUAUCAAUAAGCGGAGGA